rnacentral:rRNA from 1 species
UACGGGGGGGGCAAGCGUUGUUCGGAAUUACUGGGCGUAAGGGGCUCGUAGGCGGCCAACUAAGUCCGAUGUGAAAUCCCAAGGCUUAACCUUGGAACUGCGUCGGAUACUGGAUGGCUUGAAUUCGGGAGAGGGAUGCAGAAUUCCAGGUGUAGCGGUGAAAUGCGUAGAUAUCUGGAGGAAUACCGGUGGCGAAGGCGGCAUCCUGGACCGACAUUGACGCUGAGGAGCGAAAGCUAGGGGAGCAAACGGG